rnacentral:tRNA from 1 species
GUUUCCGUGUGUAGUGGCUAUCACAUCCGCCUUACACGCGGAAGGCCCCGGUUCGAUCCCGGGCGGAAGCA